rnacentral:rRNA from 1 species
UACGUAGGGGGCAAGCGUUGUCCGGAUUUACUGGGCGUAAAGAGCGUGUAGGCGGCCACGCAGGUCCGUUGUGAAAACUGGAGGCUCAACCUCCAGCUGUCGACGGAAACCGUUUGGCUAGAGUCCGGAAGAGGAGAGUGGAAUUCCUGGUGUAGCGGUGAAAUGCGCAGAUAUCAGGAAGAACACCAAUGGCGAAGGCAGCUCUCUGGGACGGUACUGACGCUGAGACGCGAAAGCGUGGGGAGCGAACAGG